rnacentral:rRNA from 1 species
ACGCCAGUCUGCGUGGAGCCGACCUUGAAAUACCACCCUUUAAUGUUUGAUGUUCUAACGUGGACCCGUUACCCGGGUUGCGGACAGUGUCUGGUGGGUAGUUUGACUGGGGCGGUCUCCUCCUAAAGAGUAACGGAGGAGCACGAAGGUUGGCUAAUCCUGGUCGGACAUCAGGAGGUUAGUGCAAUGGCAUAAGCCAGCUUGACUGCGAGCGUGACGGCGCGAGCAGGUGCGAAAGCAGGUCAUAGUGAUCCGGUGGUUCUGAAUGGAAGGGCCAUCGCUCAACGGAUAAAAGGUACUCCGGGGAUAACAGGCUGAUACCGCCCAAGAGUUCAUAUCGACGGCGGUGUUUGGCACCUCGAUGUCGGCUCAUCACAUCCUGGGGCUGAAGUAGGUCCCAAGGGUAUGGCUGUUCGCCAUUUAAAGUGGUACGCGAGCUGGGUUUAGAACGUCGUGAGACAGUUCGGUCCCUAUCUGCCGUGGGCGCUGGAGAACUGAGGGGGGCUGCUCCUAGUACGAGAGGACCGGAGUGGACGCAUCACUGGUGUUCGGGUUGUCAUGCCAAUGGCACUGCCCGGUAGCUAAAUGCGGAAGAGAUAAGUGCUGAAAGCAUCUAAGCACGAAACUUGCCCCGAG